rnacentral:rRNA from 2 species
UACGGAGGGUGCGAGCGUUAUCCGGAAUCACUGGGCGUAAAGGGCGCGUAGGCGGUUUGUUAAGUCCGAUGUUAAAGACCGAGGCUCAACCUCGAUACGGCGUUGGAUACUGACAAGCUGGACGGUUGGAGAGGAAGGUAGAAUUACCAGUGUAGCGGUGGAAUGCGUAGAUACUGGUAGGAAUACCCAUUGCGAAGGCAGCCUUCUGGACAACACGUGACGCUGAGGCGCGAAAGUGUGGGGAGCAAACCGG